rnacentral:rRNA from 1 species
UACGUAGGGGGCUAGCGUUGUCCGGAUUUAUUGGGCGUAAAGAGCGUGUAGGCGGCCAUGUAGGUCCGGUGUGAAGACUCGAGGCUUAACCUCGAGAUGUCAUCGGAAACCAUUUGGCUAGAGUCCGGAAGAGGAGAGUGGAAUUCCUGGUGUAGCGGUGAAAUGCGCAGAUAUCAGGAAGAACACCAAUGGCGAAAGCAGCUCUCUGGGACGGUACUGACGCUGAGACGCGAAAGCGUGGGGAGCGAACAGG